AUGGUGCUGGUCCCCACCCACCACUUCAGAGACUUUGAGAGGAAACCAGAGUACCCAUAGCUGGAGAUGCCUGUCCGACCUCCCUACCCUGGUCCUAUGAGAACCAUGUGGCUUAUCCACGAUGGCUGUGGCAUCGCCUGUGCCAUCAUCACCUGGUUUCUGGUCCUCUAUGCGGAGUUUGUGGUCCUCUUUUUCAUGCUGAUUCCAUCCGGAGACUAUGCUUACAGCACCAUCAAUGGAAUUGUGUUCAACCUGCUGACUUUCUUGGCCCUGGCCUCCCACUGCCAGGCCAUGCUGACAGACACCGGAGCAGUGCCCAAAUGAAAUGCCACAAAUAAUUCAUCCAGAGUUUACAGAUGAAGCCCAGGCAUGUGGUAUACUCGUGUCCCAGUGCUGCAGCCUCAAGCCUGACCCAGCCUGCCGCUGCAGUGUUUGUAAGGGGUGCAUUCGUAGGGUGGACCCCCACUGUCCCUGGGUCAACAUCUGCAUCGAAGAGAACAACCAGAAGUGCUUUGUCCUGCCUAUCAUGUGCACAGCUCUCAUUUCCUUGCCUGCCCUCAUCAUGGUGGAUUACACUUCCUGGAUUGUUGUGAAGAAGAUUACUCAAAUCUCCCGAAGCCUAUGAACUGAACAGGGAAGGAAUGGCAGAUGCCUGUAUCUCUCCUCAUGAAAAAAUGCAGCCCUUUUAAGUCAGUUUGACAGAGUGUAGCUCCUUCUUUCCACCCACCACGGUGGUCUUCCUCAUCCCACUGUGCUUUGAGGGGCUGCUCUUCAUUUUCACAUCAGUGAUGUUUGGGACCCAGGUGCACUCCAUCUGCAUGGAGGAAAUGGCUGUAGGACAAUUGAAAAAGGAAGAGAGAAGAUGGGCUAAGAAACCAAAAUGGAUGAACAUGACAUUUACCAUGAACAGACAUCUGUCUGGCAUGACUGUUUUUGGCUACCCCUUCUCUCUAGGCAGAUGGAGACUUUUUGCCAUGCCAGAUCAAGGGAAGGCAGGCCCAUACCAGUGUGAAGUCUGAA
rnacentral:lncRNA from 1 species